UACGUAGGGUGCGAGCGUUGUCCGGAAUUAUUGGGCGUAAAGGGCUCGUAGGCGGUUUGUCGCGUCGGGAGUGAAAUCCACUGGCUUAACUGGUGGCUUGCUUUCGAUACGGGCAGACUAGAGGCAGGUAGGGGAGAAUGGAAUUCCCGGUGUAGCGGUGAAAUGCGCAGAUAUCGGGAGGAACACCGGUGGCGAAGGCGGUUCUCUGGGCCUGACCUGACGCUGAGGAGCGAAAGCGUGGGGAGCGAACAGG
rnacentral:rRNA from 1 species